GCGCCUGAGUAAGGAUUUCGACGCUCAGUGAUACGGUUCACUAGACGACGUUGUCAACACGUAAUGGCGGCCAGAACUUUACGUUGAUUUUUGCAUUUCAGGCUGAUAAGUUAAUGUUAUCAUAAUUUGAUGCUUGAACAUUAUACUAUACACAAUAACUUAAGAAGGAAUGGCUUACUUUAUAAUUUUAGCUAAAAUAUUUUACAAGAAAGUGCGUUCAUCUAAAUUUACAGACUGCAAAAUUGAUAAAAAAUUAUGUUCAAACCGACGUGUAAAAGACUUGAUGCAGGAAAUAACAUUCAUUUCAUUUUUAUUCAUCGUAAACCACCAACAUGAAAAUGAUAAAAUUCGGAUUGGAACUGAAGCUAUCCGUGUUUGACUCCGGUGAUAAACCAAUUCACAAGACAUCCGUUUUCCAGAGUUGAACCCACAUCAGGCACAUGGAACUACUAUUUCUUGAAUUUAUCUAGGAAGAUAAACACCAAAUACUGAACAAAGUCGAGUUAUUAUUUUCAAACUUGACAGUGUUCAGCCGCAAGUAUUACAGUGAUUGGAUCAGAUCAAAAGAUGUAAAUCUUGAAGCACACAUUCCGACUUAUAGAAUAACAUGAAUAAACAUGAUAAAGAGAUUAAGGAAAGACAGUGAAAAACAGGAAAUAUUUUAAAGAAUAAAGCUAUUAUUUCUUAUUGGACAAUGUUCAGCAGCAAGUAUUACAAUGUGAUUUGGAUCAGAUCAAAAGAUGUUUACAUUGAAGCACAUAUUCCGACCAAUAGAAUAAACAGAAAAAGAUAAUACAGUGAAAAACAGGAAAUAUUUGAAAGGAUAAAGCUAUUAUUUCAUAUUGGACAAUGUUCAGCAGCAAGUAUUACAAGGUGAUUUGGAUCAGAUCAAAGAUGUUUACAUUGAAGCACAUAUUCCGACCAAAAGAAUAAAGAGAAAAAGAUAAUACAGUCCAAAACAGGAAAUAUUUGAAAGGAUAAAGCUAUUAUUUCAUAUUGGACAAUGUUCAGCAGCAAGUAUUACAAGGUGAUUAAGAACAGAUCAAAAGAUGUUUACAUUGAAGCAUACAUUCGGACCAAUAGAAUAAAGAGAAAAAGAUAAUACAGUCCAAAACAGGAAAUAUUUGAAAGGAUAAAGCUAUUAUUUCAUAUUGGACAAUGUUCAGCAGCAAGUAUUACAAGGUGAUUUGGAUCAGAUCAAAAGAUGUUUACAUUGAAGCACACAUUCGGACCAAUAGAAUAAAGAGAAAAAGAUAAUACAGUCCAAAACAGGAAAUAUUUGAAAGGAUAAAGCUAUUAUUUCAUAUUGGACAAUGUUCAGCAGCAAGUAUUACAAGGUGAUUAAGAACAGAUCAAAAGCACAUUCUGACAAAUGAAAUUUUAAAGAAUUAUCCACUAACAAUUCUUAAAGAUAGUGAAAGACAGGAAAUAUUUGAUAAGAAGUUUCAUACAAUAAUGUGCAGUCAAGAACUUAGUUUUAUUCUGGACCUGGAUUAAAUGGAUCAUGAACCCGAUUUCAGAUUGUGAUAAUGAAUGUGGAAACAGAUGAAUUCAAGUGUACAGCUACAACCUACUUAAAUACAUGUGAUAUGGGAUAUUUGGAACUAAAAUUGUUUAUGUAAAAAUGUUAUUUGAAUGGAAUUAUUUCAAACAUGUGUAUUGAAAUCUGUGAUGACAGUUUGUAAAUCUGAUUCAUCCAGUUCAAUUAAAUUAAUGCCAAGAUUCUCAAAUUCAAGAAAAAAAUCAUUAAAUAUAUUAUUAUCUGAGUCGGUGUCAGUGUCUGAUUCAGAGUCAUAAAGGGGUUCAUCUUGGGUUUUCUCGUUUGGUUGUUGGAUAUUUGCAUCACCUGAAGGUAACAUUGUAGGGCCAUUUGAAUUUAAACAAGACUGUCCACAUUUACAUCCAGGACCGCACGACUUUCUUUGCUUCCUACAUCCACACUGAUUGCCACUACAAUUUGAUUUGAUACACCCACACCCAGCUGUCCAUAAUUUUACAUUGUUAGAAUUUUUUUCUAAA